UCUUGAUGCUUUUGUAAUCUGCAGUAAAAGAGAAGAAAGCAACUUUCACUGAAACAUUUCUACAAUUGAAAAAGUAAAUAUUGGCACAUGAUAUUUUCUUUUGAAAAAUGACUACAAAAAAAUGGAUUGCAGAAUUCAUUUGUACUUUUUGUCAAUGUUUCCAUUUCAAAUGUUCUCACUUCACUAGCAAUUCUUUUCCUCUCACCUGUGAACUCAUCUCAAUAUUAGGCAAAGUGGUUGUUCUUUUCACGGCUCUCUACCAGCCACAAAUACUUUUCAACAUAAAAUAGUCUUAAUUACUCAUGAAAUCUCAUCCAAUUUGAAUUAUGAUGUCAUUUGUUCUAUCUAAAGAAAACCGUAGAUUUUUUUUCAUAAAUGCAAACUGGAAUAUAGUUAACAAUACUGUUGAUGCACAAGAAGGGAUGCGAUCCAAUUCUCUUAUGGUCAUGCUGAUUUUAUAAGGUAGGUAUUAGAAGGAGCAUGAAUUUAUUAUAAGAAAUUAUUUUCAAU